UGGGAGCAGAGGAAAAGAUAAAGAACUGCCUAAAUGUAGUGGAGAUGGGGGAAGAAAGAAAAGAGCAGAAAAAGAAAAGUUGAUGCCAUUGCCGCCCCCUUCUCCAGACUUCAGCAGUUGUGAAAGUGAAUGAGAAUACAACAACUCUUUUGAAGACAACAGCACCC